rnacentral:rRNA from 1 species
AGCGAAUCCCCAAAAGGACGUCUCAGUUCGGAUUGCAGGCUGCAACUCGCCUGUAUGAAGUCGGAAUUGCUAGUAAUCGUGGAUCAGCAUGCCACGGUGAAUACGUUCCCGGGCCUUGUACACACCGCCCGUCACACCAUGAGAGCCGGUAACACCCGAAGUCAGUAGCCUAACCGCAAGGGGGGCGCUGCCGAAGGUGGGAUUGGUAAUUGGGGUGAAGUCGUAACAAGGUACC